rnacentral:rRNA from 2 species
AWGRUCGAACGAGCUUCCGUUGAAUGACGUGCUUGCACUGAUUUYAACAAUGAAGCGAGUGGCGAACUGGUGAGUAACACGUGGGAAAUCUGCCCAGAAGCAGGGGAUAACACUUGGAAACAGGUGCUAAUACCGUAUAACAACAAAAUCCGCAUGGAUUUUGUUUGAAAGGUGGCUUCGGCUAUCACUUCUGGAUGAUCCCGCGGCGUAUUAGUUAGUUGGUGAGGUAAAGGCCCACCAAGACGAUGAUACGUAGCCGACCUGAGAGGGUAAUCGGCCACAUUGGGACUGAGACACGGCCCAAACUCCUACGGGAGGCAGCAGUAGGGAAUCUUCCACAAUGGACGAAAGUCUGAUGGAGCAAUGCCGCGUGAGUGAAGAAGGGUUUCGGCUCGUAAAACUCUGUUGUUAAAGAAGAACACCUUUGAGAGMAACUGUUCAAGGGUUGACGGUAUUUAACCAGAAAGCCACGGCUAACUACGUGCCAGCMGCCGCGGUAAU